UACGGAGGGUGCAAGCGUUAAUCGGAAUUACUGGGCGUAAAGCGCACGCAGGUGGCUGAGUCAGUCGAUUGUGAAAGCCCUGGGCUUAACCUAGGAAUUGCAGUCGAUACUACUCAGCUAGAGUAUGGGAGAGGGCAGUGGAAUUCCCGGUGUAGCGGUGAAAUGCGUAGAUAUCGGGAAGAACACCAGUGGCGAAAGCGGCUCUCUGGGGACCACCUGACGCUGAGGCGCGAAAGCGUGGGGAGCGAACCGG
rnacentral:rRNA from 1 species